GUAACCAAAACGACAAACGGAAGUCAGAACGAAUUCCACAGACGGAACAGCGACAGCAAAAAUCAUCUUAUCACUCGCACAGCACCGCGCCCUCCUCCAGAGAAUCCUCCUCCGCCCGCCAUGCGAGCAGGUUGGCAAGCUUGCCUUCCUUGACCAGAGGGUGGCCGCUCUCCACAUUCUCGCCCUCGAAGCAGUGGAAGACGGACCUGGGCGACCCGGCGGAGACAGCAACCUCUUCAUUCGCGGUAAAGCUCUGGUAGAUGAGGACGCCCCCGCAGGGGAGCUCCUGCUCCACGAUGUUGUUGCAGUCGUAUGCCUCGGCGUCGAGCUUCUUGCCCCAGGUGGCGGCGUGGCCGCGGCCACCGAAGAUGGUGACCGCCACAGAGAACUCUGAAGGGCCGAAGCACCGGAGAACCCUCUUGACGAUGUCGCCGUAGACCAGGGCGGAGGCGUCCAUGCCCUGGACCUCAUAGCUCGCGUAGCUGAAGCCGUCCUCGGGGGUCACAUGGAUGGUGGAGAAGGCAGAUCCGUUGAUGGCGUUCAUGGAGUAGCCGCAGGGCUCGAAGUCGAAGUCGCACACCUCCAUCUCAGGGAUGAUGUUGGAGAUACCAGAGAGCUUGGUCAUCUCCUUGGCACAGGAGACGUGGCCAUCAGCAGAAGUCUUGAAGAAGACAGAGGCCUUCUUCUUGUCAAGCCCAGUCAUGCACAUCUCCAGGGUGACCAUGGGCUGCUCGGGUUGCUCAGUGGCAUAGUAGAUGUGCCACUUCUGGCCAGGCUUCGCUGGGUCGCCAAUCACAUAGGCAUUGCCACCAGACUUCAGGUGGCCGAAGUAGCGGUUCAGGACAUCAACCUCCUCAGAGAAGCUCCUGUGGGGAGCAGGCUGUGCGCCGGGGAAGAUGAACAUCCCACGGGAGUACUUCACGGCAGCAAGCGGCAUGCACAGCUCCUCAGCUAGCUCAAGAAUCCUUGGAAUGGUGAGCAGAAGCAUGGUAGUCCCACAGGUCUUGAUCACAAUCUUCUGAGAGUAGAUAAACAGGCUCGACUCAGAUAGCACAUACGAGUCAAAGUCCUUGUUGGAGAGCUCGGACACAAUGGUGCACCGUGCAAGAUCAAGAACAGAGUCAAUCUGGGCCCUAGAGAGGGCGCGCAGGCCACGACCAUGAGGGUCAGCAAAGAUUGAUGCCUCGUUGAAGGUGAUCUCGAGGCGCUUCUCGUAGCCCUCAAACCCGAUCGCAGAGGUCGGGGCGGCCAUUGUUGCAGUUUGAGUCAGAAAGCAGAGCAGAGAGGAACAGAGGGAGAGAGACUAGAGAACUGGUCGAUUAUCGUGAAGCAGCAAGCCAGAGAGAUUGGUGGGAGAAAAGAGUCAGAAUAAAAUUGCAUAAAAAUCCUAAACUACGGGAAGGGGAAAGCCAAAAACGAUAUCAGGAUGGCUUCUUCGCGCACUGCAGUAUAAGAGAAGAAAAUCGCAUGGUUAGCAACAAAUCUGGAGAUAAAUUGUUUGAACAGAAGUAACUAGACUUUGUGUUUCGUUCUCACGUUUGAAUAUGCAGCAGAAAACUUCUUUGCGCCUCCAGCUGGUCGAACGUCUUCAAUGCUGUAGCCGAGGGGAGCUUCGUACAUCAGGGAACUACUACUGCUAGACUUUUUGCCACCCUUUGACUCCAUUAGAACAUUCACUAACUGCAGAACGAGAGAAAAGAGGAGUUAGACAGAAGUUUCUAGCAAACUUUCAUGGUUACAUAACAGAAAAAGCGUUUCUAUGCAAAUAUUUUCUUGUCGAUAUCAAUUACUCCAUGGUUAAUAGUCACAGCCGGAACUGAAUACUGGUAGAACAUAACAGGCCAGGAAUCAUAUUGAAAAAUACAACCACGAACCUGUGUGCCAAGCAAAACUUAAGUGACUCUACGGGGGCAGAUACGAGAUUAAAAUUAUUUCUACACAAUCUAAUCCAACUGCAAUUAUCCAUGAUGCCAAGUUACGGUAAAUUAAGCGUUCUACGCUGAACUUUAACUCCCCAAACAUUCUAACGCCGAAUCAUAGCCUUUCCAGUAAAACAAUAGUAACUACUAGGAGCAACCAAUCUACAAAGGCAUAGCUAAGAUAAUACAUCCCAGAUCCAGAUGCAAACUACGACUACUACCAGAGAUCAAUUCUCCUAGAAACUAGCGGGCAUGAUCUGGUCAAAAGAGCACAACCACAGCGCACAAGAACCAAGACCUAGAAACCAGAAAUCUACAGGCUAGCGCGGCACAAUCAAGAGACGGAAAACAUUCCGGGUUCGCCGAAGAAACUUACGGGUUCCUGGGAAAAAUUGGUAUGGUAACCCCUUCCCGAGCGCGCCCACUUGUUCCGGUUCCGAUCUCAAGAAUUCCCCCCUCUCCCGACACAGAUCUCGAGCCCUCCCGACGAGUCCUUCUCUCUCUUUUCUUCUUCUUUUCUUAUCUGGCUGCGGUGGCGGCGGCGAGGCGGUGGGGGGGUGGGAGGAAAUUCUUGUGCGACGAGUUAGCGUGCGGCUGAGGGAGGAACCCUCGUCCCGGCCCGCUAUUUAUAGCCCCGCUUAGCGGAGGCGGGCUCCCGUGGCCGCCACGGAAGGACCCGGCCCGCGCGGAGGCCCGUGCGCCGGGGUGGACGCGCCGCGGGGCCCGCGACGGGGUGGGAUUCGCGGCUGUGAGCGUACGUCCACGGUGCGCCGGGCGUAGGGGGGGGAGGGGGUCUUUGUUUCACGUGCUUCUGUGUGGUUCCGACGGUUUCUGCAGCGCGUUGGGAUUGACAGCUGGGGCGCGUGGGAUUCGCGGCUGCGGUGCCUCCGGCUCACGGUGGACCGGGCGCGGGGAGGCGUGUGGGGGUUGAGGUGCUUCUGUGAGGUUCGGACUGGUUCCUGGGGAGGACAGGUGGGGUCACACCUGUCAGAGCCGGAUCGGAGCCACGUUCUGGCUGACUCGGCGUGCGGUAGGCUCUCAAGAUUCGGAUGCCAAUAAUUGCUUGGCGUGAUUCGAAAAGUUUCCUGGCUAGACGGCAUGUGUGACUUGCUUUCCCUCCGCGAACAGGCUAAAGUCGUGCUUGGAUUCUCAUUUUUCUUCUAAAUCUUUACCUAAUAAUAAAGAGGCUAUCGUUUUCAUCGGAAAAACUAUCAAGGUGAUUUUAUAAAAAAGACUUACUGUUUAUGACAUUAAACUCGUAGUAUAUAUUUAAUAUAUUUUUAAAUACUCAUAUCUUUUAAACCGUAACUCCAAAUUUAACAUAUUAUACAUGAAAUUUGAUUAGAAAAAUACGUAGAAUUUAAAUAUGAUAUUAUUUUAUCUGUUAAACGUUUAAUAAAAAUACUAUCUAGGGUGCAAUUUUAAUAAAUAAGUCAUUAUUUGUCUUUCUUUCGUACUGGUACUCAUCCGGGUUGGGAAUGAACACGUCAACAAAAUCAGGAUUAGAGAUGAAACUGAAGGUCACUUGACUGAUUCUUUGUACGUAUUAAAUCUACAUACAAGCUGUGUUGAAAUAGAAACCUGUGAAAUUUUGAACUGUAUUUUUGUAGGAUAAUACCAUCUUUAUUUGUAUCGUAACUAUAAAUUCUCAAAUUAUAGACAUUUUUUAUAAAUUAAGAGUGUGUGCCGUGUGGUAUUUCUUUCUCCCGUUGCAACGCAUGGGCCCUUUUGCUAGUCUAUACCUAAUAAUAAAACGGAUAUUGAUUUCGUCGGAAAACCCACCGCGACAUUUUUAUAAAAAAACUUCUGUAAUUUUUGUUAUUCAACCCGCGCUCCAUCAUUUAUCUGCAACGCAAAAGGAAAAAAUGAUUCGUUGUAAAUAUUAUACCCGUACGCAUCGCCUCCUCCCGUCGACCGUGGGCCACCCUGGCCUGUGCCCAGGCCUCCGCCAGACCACUCGCACCCGCGGCCGACCUCAACCGUCACCGCUGCCGAUCUCAACCGACCCGCCUCCGCGGCCGUACCUCUCCCCGCUCACUGCCCCCGUUGCGGCGCUCGAGCGCAUCGCGUCGACCCUCGUCCACCCUGGCUUGUGACCAGGCUGCUGCCACACCACUCGCCGCCGCGGCCGACCUCAACCACCACUGUUGUCGAUCUCAACCCACCCGCCUCCGCGGCCGUACCUCUACCCGCUUGCUGCCCUCGUUUCGGCGCUCGAGCACAACUUCUGGAUCAAAUCAACGCGACAGCUACAAUGACUUGGGAUGAUGCGUCUGCUCGAUGCAGAACGGUAGCGGCGCGCGGAUAAGGCGCGGCGGAUCGAAGUAAUUGCAGGUGGAGGCGGGCCUCCAUGGCUCACACGGGGAACUCCGAGGUUAUGGCACGCAAUGGCGACUCUUUAUGGCCAGAUAGAGACGCCUAACCCUUGCUCCCCUCAUCGUAUCCCCUCCUGUGGCAAGAACUCAUCAUCUGUUGAGAUCCCCUCCCCAUGCCUCCAACCGUGUGCCAAGCACCGGCAAGAAAUUUUGUUUUGUGUGAAUUUGUUUGCUGAUGAAUGAAUGUAUUGAAUGUAAGAUUGCAUUGUUGUAGAGAGAGAGGAUGAAACACCACCUUCAGUUUGUCAUCUGAUCCCACAUUCUCUACUCCAUGAGUGAAAUAAGAUAAUAGUCCAUUGAUCAAUUCACGUAGCCUCUUUGUUUUGUUUUGCUUGUCCCACUUAAUUUCGCAUCAUGGUGGAAUUAACAAUGGACGGGUUGAUUUCUCAACAAAAUAGGAUAGGACUGACUACAUUAGUUAGUUAGCUUAUUGUUUUAAUAAAUUAUAAAAUAAUUAUAAAAAAUUAAAAACGUGUGGUAUUUUUUUCUCGUGUUGCAACGCAUAGGCCCUUUUGCUAGUACACUCGUAAAAUAUAUAUUGAUCUUUGAUGAUUGUUUUGGUUUUCAGAUGUAAAUAGUUUUUGACAUGUAAACUACAUCCGGAAAGUGAAUAUAUUUAUAUUAAAUUACAACCAAACCAAGCGCGGCGUAACGCAUCACGCAUGUGUUUACCAUGGGGAUUUUAACACUCCACCACACAACAGUUUGUCUUUCCUUUUUACGAGUGAUAUUACUGUAUUACUAAAAGGGAAACUCUUCUAUAUCUACUAAUAAAAAAAGGGAUCGUCUACUUUACAUUCGGAUAAAAACGAAUUCGUUUCAGCCAUUUUUUCCUCCAGUUACAGGAUGACAAGUGUUCCCCUAUCCUGUGUCACCUGCCCUCUUCUUAGUUCGUAUUUGUCCUGUGUCCUUAUCAUCUGUUACAUGAUAAUCUUAACGGGUCACCUUAACUUUUUUCAACGCGAACAAAAAGAAGCAAAAAGAAUAAGAGCACCCAACGUUACAGCCAAGCUUUCCUAUGUCCAGUAAGCUAAAGCUAACAAAGGGAAGAAAGGACCACAAUGAAAUGACAAAAUACACACUGGAAAAGAACUAAAAUUACACUAAAGAUUUUUAGUGUAAUAUCUACUAAAAAAUGCACUGUAAAAAACUUUAGGUCCACUAAGAAUUACAAUGUAAAAUCCACUAAAAUUACAUUGAGAUUUACAUUGUAAAUACCGCUAAAAAUACCCUAACAAACGAAAUAAUUUAUACUAAAUAAUUACACUAAGCACUACAGUGAAAAUCUACUAAGAAAAACACUGUAAAUCUAGUAGGAAUUACAGUGAAAAUUCACUAAGAAAAACACUGUAAAUCUAGUAGGAAUUACAGUGUAAAUCCACUUAGAAUUACAAUGGAAAUCCAAUAAGAAAAACACUCUAAAUUCAGUAGGAAUUACAGUGUCAAUCCAUUUAGAAUUACAUUAUAAAUCCACUUAGAAUUACAGUGGAAAUCCAAUAAGAAAAACACUCUAAAAUCAGUAGGAAUUACAGUGUAAAUCCACUUAGAAUUACACUGUAAAUCUACUUAGAAUUACAGUAGAAAUCCAUUAAGAAAAUCAUUGUAAAUCCAGUAGGAUAUACAGUGUAAUUCUACUUGGAAUUACACUGGGAAUCCACUAAGAAAAACACUAUAUAUCAAGUAGAAAUUACUGUGCAAAUCCACUUAGAAUUACACUGUAAAUCCACAUAGAAUUACAAUGGAAAUCAACUAAGAAAAACACUUUAAAUAAAGUAGGAAUUAUAGUGUAAAUCCACUUAGAAUUACACUGGAAAUCCACUAAGAAAAUCACUUUAAAUCUAGUACGAACUACAGUGUAAUUCUACUUAGAAUUGCACUGAAAAUCCACUAGGAAAAACACUGUAAAUCAAUAGGAAUUACAAACACUGUAAAUCCACUAAGAAAACGCAUUGCAAAGACAACAGCAACAUGAACUUGAACGGGUGCACACCAAAGAGGGUAAUUCCGCCAUGAACUGGGACACAAAUCUGGCUGGAGAUGCAGAAAAACACAGGUAAAUACCUCCUCUUAUGCAUUUACCCCUCCAUGAUAUCUCUCCUACCUCAUGACAUGUGAAAGAAGAUCAAGCUCCCUGUGAGGAUCAUUCAGAUACGUUGAAGAGCACAACUUAACAGAACAAAGAUUAGAACACCGGUAAAAAGGAUAGCAUGAAGCAGGAGAAACUCUAGGAACAACUAGACUAAGGACACGCAAACUACUAGUCUACGGUCAGAUGAAUAACACUUUGGAACACCAGAUUUUGAAAACCAGUUGCAAAAUCAGUGUUGGGAAAUUCACAGCUAUAGAUACAACACAGGGCCAAAAAAUUUGGGGAUGAGAGGGGGGCAUGUUCAGGAAGCUACGAAUUUCAUUUAUGAAAAACUUGUUCAAACAAAAAGUGUAGUAUUGUUGUAAUUUCGGAAACUUUGGUGCUGAGAAACUGUACAUUGUUCAGAUACUUUUGAUCAUGUUUGGACAUUUGUAUCUGUGAAUCUAUGACUGUAUAGACAUGGCAGAUUAGAUUUCAAUAUAAAGUUCUGAAUAUAUGACUGUAUUUUAGAAACAAUGGUACUACCAUCAUGUAAGCAAAAGUACAAGAUGCUGGAAGAACACAAUUUAGUUAAAAUGUACUACCAUCUACACUGUAAGUUACACCGAGAUAUCAGUGAAACUUAAAUAGAUAUAUCACUACAGAGUGCAAAAUAGUGCAGACCAAACAACUGUUGCUUAAUUGAAGAAAUUCAGUCCAGAAUAAAACCUAAAGAUUACAUUUACACUAGCCAUUUACAAUGAAAAACUAGUGUAAGAUAGACUACUAUACAAUGAAACUACAAUAGAGAUAUCAGUGUAAAAUUAAAUCUAAUAUUACAUUUACACUGGCCAUUCACUAUCGCAGUCUAUAGUAGCCAAUCGGUUGUUACUUAAUUAUAGUGAAAUCCACUAAAAAUUACACCGCACUAGUACAUGCCAAAUAAUAUUAGUUAACUAAAGAAAUGCAGUCCAGGAUUAAACAACAGGGGAAAAGCGGAGCAAACAUAUACAUCUACGUCAGAAAUUAUCUUAUAAAAUCACACAUCUGCAACAAAAACAGGCUAGACCAGACAAACAUCAAUCUAUGACUCUAGCAGCCGCCAAAGGUUCAACAUCGCUAAUUCAAAGUCGGACACGGAUAAACUACAUCUACAUUUGAAAGAAGAAGUCAUUAUAGACAAGAGGGGUCCACGGCUAAAUUUGCAUCUGUAACAAAAAGUACCACACACUACAAAUACAAGUACUCACUCCGUUCCUAAAUAUAAGUCUUUUUAGAGGUUUCACUAGGGGACUACAUACAGAUGUAUAUAGACAUAUUCUAUAGUGUAGAUUCACUCAUUUUGCUCUGUAUGUAGUCCCCUAGUGAAAUCUCUAAAAAAACUUAUAUUUAGGAAUGGAGGGAGUAGAUUAAUACAACGAGAUAUAAUCAACCAAAUCUAGCAAAUCGCACAGGAAAAUGAAACCGGGGGAGGGGGUGCUUGCAAACCAACAACCUCAGGUAGGUGACGAGGGCAAGGACCGCCCGUGGGGCGGGGGGGGGGGGGNNNNNNNNNNNNNNNCCACCAUAGAGCCUCGAGAGAUCAGCGAGUGAGGCCUCCAAAAAAAUCACCAUGCCUCUCCGUCUUCGAGCUCUGGCCGGUAGAAACGGGGAACGAUCCAAAGGCAGUUAAGUGGGAGGAAAAAAAUCAGUUGCGACCAAGAGACACGACCCAUGAUAUUAGUAGGUCUCUUGGAACAGUGUGUAGGCCCGAUAACAAUCAGAAAGACACGCGCGCUGAGAGAAAAUAAAAAAACCGUACAAAGAGUUGAUUAGGAAUUAAAUAUUACUCCCUCCGUUCCUAAAUAUAAGUCUUUCUAGAUGUUCCAUUAAUGGACUAUAUAUGAAUGUAUAUAGACAUACUUUAGAGUUUAGAUUCAAUCAUUUUGCUCCGUAUGUAGACUCCUAGUGAAAUAUCUUAAAAGACUUAUAUUUAGGAACGGAGGGAGUAUUCAUUAUGAUAAUUUUUAGGGCAUAUUUAUCGCUAAGUGACUUUGGUGAUUCAUGACAGUACCUCAACGGACUAAUCGUGUGCAUUGAGCAUUUCAGAUAAUACAUGACAAAGGCACAAGACGUUUCGGCUCCCCUCCGUGGAUCAGAAGCACGGUGGCUUCUACGGUUCUAUUUGGUGGUUUUGAGUCGUAGGAACGCCGUACUAUUAAGAGGGGAUCCGUGUCGGAAAGGUUGGGUGGAAUCAAACUCUCACGCGCACAUUUUAUCUCCAUCGCUUUUUCCCUUGCUACCAUGGAGCUUCCCCACUUGUUCUUUCUCUCUCUCUUGGCAAAAAGGCUCUAGCGGUAGUACCGCUAGAGGUAAGCGGUAGUACCGCUAGCAUAGCGGUAGUACCGUUAGUAAGCGGUAGUACCGCCCCCUGGCUAGCGGUAGUACCGCUCCAAGACUGUAGUACCGCUCUCGUAGCGGUUGUGCUACGGCAGACUUUUUGCGAAGACUUUCUCAGCGGUGGUAGGCCCGAUAGUAGAUCUUGCACUACCUUGGGUAAAGCGGUAGUACCGCUCUAGUCCUAGUGGUAGUACCGCUGGUGGCAGCGGUAGUACCGCUGGAGGCAGCGGUAGCACCGCUACCCGUGAGCGGUAGUACCGCUCUGCUCAUGCAGUAAGUGGGGGUAACGGUUGGUUUUGUUCCCCCACUAUAUAAAGGGUUCUUCCACUCCGUGAACCCUACCUUUGACCCUCCAAGACUCCAUUGUUGCUCCCUAAGCUCGUAUGUGCCCGAUCUCUCUCCCUAGCCAAUCAAACUUGUUGAUUUCCUAGGGAUUGGUUGAGAAGGCCAAGAUCUACACUUCCACCAAGAGAAAAUUGAUUCCCCUCAGUAAUCCCUUGUGGAUCUUGUUACUCUUGGGUGUUUGAGCAUCCUAGACGGUUGAGGUCACCUCGGAGCCACAUUCCAUUGUGGUGAAGCUCUGUGGUCUUGUUGGGAGCCUCCAAGCUUUAUGUGGAGAUAGCCCCAACCUUGUUUGUUAAGUUUUGGCCGCCGCCUUCAAGGGCACCUAUAGUGGAAUCACGACACCUUGCAUUGUGUGAGGGCGUGAGGAGAAUACGGUGGCCCUUGUGGCUUAUUGGGGAGCAUUGUGCCUCCACACCGCACCAACGGAGACGUACUUCCUAUAAAAGGGAAGGAACUUCGGUAACACAUCCUCGUCUUCAUCGGUUCCACUUGUGGUUAUCUCUACCCUUUACAUUGUGUAUGUUAUUGUUGUAGAGUAUUUCUUACUUGCUUUAGCGGUUAUAGUUGGUAGCAUCAUAUAGGCUGCUCACCUGGUUGUCAUUUUAGAGAACCUUUAUGUUACUAACCCUAACUUGUUAAGAAUAGCUAAAAAUUGGUAGUUGCCUAUUCACCCCCCCUCUAGUCAACCAUAUCGAUCCUUUCAAUUGGUAUCAAAGCCACGUCUCUUUAUUAAGGGUUUCACCACCCGAAGAGUAUGGAUGAUGAUGAGGGAGGAGUCCAUGGACAACCCGAGGCCGUGGCCUUGACUUCGGUCACAAGGGAUGACUUGAAUGCGACUAUCACCAACCUUAGGACAUCAUUGACGAAUAAAGUCAAUACCAUGCUUAAAGAGUUAAUUGAGGGGAUUAAAAGUUCUCCCGAACCGGCGUUGGUGGCUAAACCCGCCAACAUGGGUUCACAGGCCAAUUCCUCCAAGGAAACGGCUAAACGUAUGCGACCUUCUUCACCUCUCGACAAUAAUGGGACUGGAACCUAUGCCUCAGUUCCACCUCCCCUGGUGUAUGGAGGACCGGUUCCUACACCACGUAUUAAUCCUGUUGGUCCUCCUCCUAAGCUUGUUAAGGGUGAUUUUGCUAACUGGGUGUUUUCCAUUAAGUCUCAUUUGAAUCAGAGCUCAACAAAUUUGUGGAGAAUCAUUGAGCAAGGCUACUAUCCGCAUGACACAAGCAACCUCACUCCAAGAGAAGAAGCGGACAAUCAAUAUAAUCACUCCGCAUUAUUCAUUCUCCAGUCCUCAAUGCCUCCUGAAGAUCUUCCUCACUUGCGCCCCUUCACUCUGGCUAAGGACUGUUGGGAGCACAUUAUGGUGUUGUACAAGGGAAGCUCAAGCAUUCAACGGUCCAACUAUGAAGUGGUUCUUGAUGAGGCCGCUGAGUUUGUGAUGAAGGAAGAUGAGGACCCUCGAGAUCUCUAUCGAAGGGUGACUGCUAUUGAUGUUGCCCUCAAGGAUCAUGGAAGCAAGGAUGUGGAUGACACAUGGAUCAAGCGCCAGUUUCUCAAGGCCAUCAUGCCAUUCAACAAAGCCAUGUCAUCCAUCAUUCGCCAACGGCCAGAUUUCCACUCCUUGUCCUCAAGUGAGGUGUUGGACGAAUUCAUUGCAAUGUGAAUCAUGAAAAAGACCGAUGAUAACGCUCUUGCUCGUGUUCGGUCAAAGACAACUUCACCCAACCUUGCCUUAAAAGAAAAGGCUGCUUCUGAAGAAGAAGAAGAGGGGGAGGAAGAGGAAGGCUGCCCUGAAGACACUAAGUAUGCUUAUCACGAGCACAUGGCUCUUGCGUCAAGGCAAUUCUGGGGCAACAAGAGAAACUCAAGGCCCAAUUUCUCCAAGAAUAACUCAAGUGGGUUCAAGACCAAGCAACGUGUGAGGACAUGCUAUAACUGCGACAAUGGAGUCACUUUGUGGCAGAGUGUCCCUAUGAGAAGAGGGAAGACAAUGGGGGCAAGCUCAUUCGCAAAGACAAAGCCAAGUCUUUCCCAAACAAGAACAACUUUGUCAAGAAACCCCAUCCAAAGGGUAUGGUGGCACUUGAAGAGUACCCCUCCGAUGAUGACGAUGAUGAUAUGGUGGCAAUGGCUACUGUAGCCAUCGCCACCCCCUCUCUCAAGGUGUCUCUCUUCGGCGCCCCCAACGAUAACCGCAUCGCCAAGUGCCCUAUGGCCAAAGGUAUCGAUCAGGUAACACCCAACAUUAAGACCACCAUCACUACUGCUCCUUCAUUGUUAAACUGUGUUGAUGAUAGUGAUGUUGUGGAACUGAAUGAGCAUGAUUUUGACAAAUUUCUGUGUAAAAUCAAAGGAAAUCUAAGAAGCACUUUGUUGCUCUUUUAGAACAACCGGGUGAGCCAAAUGACCUCAUCGAGUCUCAUGGGGAGACUAUCUCCGAGCUGCAAGGACAUAGUCGUGACUAUGCUGAUGAGAUUGCUGAAUUAUCUAUUGCUCUAGAAAAAGAGCACAGUCUUCGUUUGGCUCUUGAGGAGUCACACAACGAUGACUGUGCUAAAUUACAAAAGGAGCUAGAUCACGCUAUUGUCCUUACACGUGUGCUUAAGUCUGAAAAGGCUGCACUUGGGGUUGGCCAUGACAGACUCAAGGAGGAGUUUGAUACACUUGACAAGGCUCACAAGGUCUUGAAAGGUGCUCAUUUAUCCCUGAAAGAGUCUCAUGAUCAACUCCAAGAAAAGCUUACCAAGGAGAUAUCUACCUGUCCUCCUUUUGUUAUAAUUGAUAAUGCUUGUACAACUAACCCUUGUUGUGAGCAUGUACAUCUUGUGGAGGAAAAUGCUAAGUUGAAGGAUCAACUUGAGAAGGGCCUUGUGUUAUCCAUCCAAGGCGAGAAGAACCUAAACGACCUUUUGAGUAAUCAAAAGGGAGUUAUAGGAAAGGAGGGACUUGGACUUACAUCCAAGUCGAAAAGGAAAAGGAAGAACAGGAACAAGCGAUCUCCUACCCUCAUGGACGUCUUUGUCAAAGAGGGCGAAGGGACUCAGAAGGAGAACAAGAACAAGGUGGAGGAUGGUAGCAUCAAGAAGGGCAAAACCAUUCCUACCAACACAGCCGGCAAACUUAACCCAACUUAUGUUUUAUGUCGUGCUGGUGAUGGGCAUGUUUAUGCCAGAUUUGUUGGUUCUUACUAUGAGUCCAUUGUAUGGGCUAUUUGGGUUCCUAAGACCCUUGUUUCUAACAUUAAAGGACCCAUUCAAAAAUGGGUACCUAAAACCAAGCCUUGAUCCAUUGCAGGAGUUUGCUUCCGGUGGGGUGUCAUGGUUGCUCGAUAGUGGAGCAACAAAUCAUAUGACCGGAAGCAAGGACUUAGCGGUGGACGUGCAUCCUUCCCCAUCUAUGCCUACCCAUGUCCAAUUUUCUUAUGCUUCAACGUCCAAGGUAUUGGGAUUUGGUAAGGUGGUCAUAUCUCAAGAGAUAUCUAUUGAGAAGGUCAUGAUUGUUGAGUCCCUUGCUUACAAUUUACUUUCUGUUCGUCAACUUGCAAUUAUGGUCUUUGCCACAUUCUUUAAUCUUGAUACCGUGGUCCUUUUGUGGAGCAAGACUCUUAAAGUACCCUAUGUUGGAUAUGUUGAAAAUGGUCUCUAUGUGGUGAACUUUUCACAGCGACCCACUAAGACUGCGACUUGUCUAAUGGCUAAAGUUGAUGUGGGCUCGCUUUGGCAUCGCCGACUAGCUCAUGUCAAUAUGAGAUAUUUGCAAAGUCUCCUCAAAGGGGACCAUGUUCGUGGACUAACGAAUGUGCGUUUUGCCAGAGAUUGUGCUUGCAGUGCCUGUAUUGAAGGGAAGAUUCACGAAACUGCUCAUCGUCCAAUGACUCUCAUUUACACUAAGAGGCCUUUGGAGCUCCUUCAUAUGGAUCUCUUUGGCCCUCCAUCGUUUGAUAGUCUUGGGGGCAGAAAGUACUGCUUGGUGAUUGUUGAUGAUUACUCAAGAUACACUUGGUAUACUUCUUCAAGAGGAAGAGUGAGACUCAACAAACCGUCAUCAACUUUGCUAAUGAAGCUCAACGUCAACAUGAAGCAAAGAUUUUGAGGAUUAGAAGUGACAACGGCACCGAGUUCAAGAACUACACCUCGGAUGAGUUUCUUAGUGAUGAGGGAAUCAAGCAUCAGUAUUCAGCACCAUACACCCCUCAACAAAAUGGUGUGGCGGAGAGGAAGAACUGGAUGUUGAUGGACGCGGCAAGAACAAUGAUGGCGGAAUUCAAAUCUCCAUAUAACUUUUGGGCCGAAGCCAUCAACACAGCAUGUCAUGCAUCUAAUCGGCUCUAUAUCCGCAAAGGCUUGAACAAGACCCCAUAUGAUAUUCUCACCGGAAACAAACCCAAUCUCAAGUACUUCCGGGUAUUCGGGUGUAAGUGUUUAUUCUCAAGAAAGGUGCGCGUUUAGCUAAAUUUGAUUCUAGAGCUCAAGAGGGCAUUUUUGUUGGUGAUGCCACAAACUCUCAUGCUUACCGUGUCCUCAACAAGUCGACCGGGCUCAUUGAGGAAACGUGUAACGUGGAGUUUGAUGAAAAUAAUGGCUCCCAAGUGGAGCAAAGUGGUCUUUGUGAUGUAGAUGAUGAAAUUCCUCCCCAAGCCAUAUGAAGAAUGGGGAUUGGUCAAAUACUCCCCAUUGAGGAACCCCUUGUGGCCGAAGGAGAAGGACAAUGCUCUACUCAAGUGGAGCCAUCACCCUCGCAAGCCCCACACGCUUCUGAUGAACAAAGAGAAAACCCUCAAUCAGCUGAACAAGAUCAAGGGCAAGAUCAACCACUCGAAGAUGGUGAUGCACCACAUGAUUUCCAAGUGCUUACACAAGGUUCUGAAUCUGCUCAAGAUCAAGAUCAAGUGCAGCUACAAGAUCAAGAACAAGUGCAGGCACAAGAUCAAGAUCAAGAGUAGCCACAAGAUCAAGAACAAACCAGUGAGCCUGCUCAAGACGAAAAUCAAGUUGAUCAGUAUGCUGCUUCUCAAAUUUCUUCUGCAGCACCUAAGAGGGGUCGCGGUGCCAAGGAAGGAUCAAAACUCAAGGCCAAGCAACGUGAUCAAGUUGAUGCUCCCCAGUUAUCAAGCGUAGAACUCUUGGAGCGUCGUGCAACCAAGAUUGCAUCCAAGCUGAGAGUCAAGUCACAUCUUAUGAAGAACGUGCUUGGAAGUUUAAAAAGGGGAGUAUCCACUCGUCAACAAAUUUCAAAUUAUUGUGAGCAUCACACGCUUGUUUCGUAUUGUGAACCUCAACAGGUACAGAAAGCGCUCGAUGAUGAGGAUUGGCUUAUGGCCAUGCAUGAAGAACUCAACAACUUCGAGCGUAAUCAAGUCUGGAAAUUAGUGCCAAGACCAAAGGAGGAACAUAAUGUCAUUGGGACCAAAUGGAUCUUCAAAAACAAGCAAGAUGACAAUGGGAUUGUGGUUCGAAACAAGGCAGGAUUGGUGGCUCAAGGCUACUCCCAAGUCGAGGGUAUCGACUACGGUGAAACCUUUGCCCAUGUUGCUCGUCUAGAAUCUAUUCGCAUGCUGCUUGCAUUUGCAUCUCAUCGUGAUUUCAAAUUACAACAAAUGGAUGUGAAAAGUACUUUCUUAAUGGUCCUUUAAAUGAGUUGGUUUAUGUCAAACAACCCCCGGGAUUCGAACAUCCCAAGCUCCCCAAUCAUGUAUACAAACUUAAUAAGGCACUCUAUGGCCUUAAACAAGCCCCACGUGCGUGGUAUGAGUACCUUACUGAGUUGUUACAAGAUCGUGGGUUUGAAGUUGGGAAGAUUGAUCCCACUCUUUUUACCAAGAAGGUCAAAGGGGAUUUGUUCAUAUGCCAAUUAUAUGUUGAUGAUAUCAUUUUUUGUUCCCGUAACGAAUCUUUCAAUGAAGAAUUUGCUGCACUAAUGACCGACAAAUUUGAGAUGUCAAUGAUGGGUGAGUUGAAGUUCUUCCUCGGGUUCGAGAUUAAACGAGGUUUAGAAGGGACCUUCAUCAAACAAGCCAAGUACACCUGUGACAGCCCGAUGUCGACGUUCCAAAAGAUUCCCCUUCUAUUCCGUUUUUGUCGUGUGUCUAUUUUCUUUUGUCGAAUCAUCUUCGCAUCAUCUGCAUUGCAUCGGCAUCUCCGUUGCCGCCAGUUUUCAAAACCUGCAUCCGUUGUUAGUUGCCGGUUCUCGUUGUUGUCCAUUCUGAGCCCGACCACACAUGCACGCGGCAUCGUGAAAUCCCUGUUUUUAAAGGUGUGCGUAAAACUUUCUCUGUUUAGGUUGAGAGUUGACGUGCGGUCUUAUUUUAAUAUAGGUAGGCCACCUGUCAAGUUUCGUCGCAAUCGGAGUCCAUCUGGUACCCGAACGGUCGACCGUAGCGGCAUCGUAUUCGAUCUAUCGUCGGACGAUUAUCGGUGUUUUAAAAAAAUCGUUGCCGGAUGCCCCUUCCCUCUCAUCUUAGCCUAAGCCCCUCUACACAGCCGCCUAACCACACUCCGCGAUAGAAGCCAUCCAAUUACGAUCGUGCGAUCAAAAUCGGCCCGGAAAACCGCUAAACCUAGCCCCUCUUCCCUAUUUAAACACCCCUAAAUUGCCCCUAAGGGAAACCCUAGCCAAUGCCUCGAUUUCCAUGCCACCCCACUAGUCAGCCGCCAACUGAUCCUGUUCCUCCUCCCACCUCGAGCCAGGCCCGCUCGAGCCCGAGAGAGGCCCGCCCGAGCCCACCUGGACCCGGGACAGCCGCCGCUAGCCUCUGCCCAGCCCCCAUGGCACGCCGCCUCGCCUCCGGUGCUCCUCCCGCACGCAGCCCCGCUCAGCNNNNNNNNNNNNNNNNNNNNNNNNNNNNNNNNNNNNNNNNNNNNNNNNNNNNCCGCGCCUGGCCCGCCACUAGCCGCCAGGCCAGCUGGCCCAGCUAGCGCUCUCCGAGGCCCAGCUCGGCCUUCCUUCGCGUGGCUAGCCAGCGCCCUGCUUCGGCCUCGUCAAGGCCCGAGCCGGCGUGCCUCCUGACGCCCUCCUCCCUGACCGGGCUCGACCCACUAAGGUGAGCUACCUGCCCCCUAUCCCGCGUCGUGGUGCAUUCUAGCUAUUCCGCACUUGCCUAUUGGGUCCAACAGCGUCAGAUUCGGCCCAAUUAGUUUUUUUAGGAUUUACGAAUUUAUUUAAUUUUAGAAAAAACAUUGAUUUUUAGAAGAGCGUAGUUUCUAAACCGUGCAUCAGAUCGGGUGAGUAAUAUAUGGAACUUGACUAGAAUUUUGCGUAGAGUAAGAUUUUCCAACUCUCAUGCAUAAUUAGAACUGUUUAGUGUGUUGUUUACCUCGUUUUGCGUGUCGACAUGUUGAAAGCGGUUUAGGUCGUAACUAUUUGUGCGUAGCUCCGUUUGAGAUGUGCCAUAUAUGUAAAUGGACCAUGACGACGAGUAGAAUCACGUGAGCCACUUUGUUUCGCCGUUUAACGAACAUAAAAUGUGAUUAGGACAAAUCUGGACAGAAUUAGAAUUUAACGCGUGGGGUCAUUUCAGAGAUGCUAUAUGUCAUUUCCGGCCUCAUUUAAAAUGCCUAGAUAGGUAGUUUAAUUCGUGAUUCACCCCUUGCCAUGUCUAAUAAUAUUUAAUAUUGCCGUGCAAAUAAACGGGAGUGAAUUAAAUAAUUAAACGUGGAGUUUCGUCGAUAUGCAACUCAUUGCAUAUCGAGCUUCACUUAAUGUGUAGUGUUUGCUUGAUGUGAAUUGCCAUGCCAUGCCUUGCAUUAUUGAACUGUUCAUGCAUCAUAUGUGUCGUGCAUUUGCCGUGGUGAAUAUCUGUGUUGAUGCUUGUUUCCGGUUUGCUCCGUCUUGAUAGAGUUCCGCAAGCGUGUCGGAAUGUGAGGAACCGUUCGACUACGUCGGUUCGUCUGCUUCACGGAGUCGUUCUUCUUCUCAGCGGGAUCUCAGGCAAGAUGACCAUUUCCAGAGAUAUCAUUACUACCAUCGCCAUGCUAUCUUUACCGUUUCUAUCGUUAUGUCUCGUUGCCUACCACCUGUUAAAUAUCAGCCUCUCAACAUUGCCAUGAAAACCUUCAACCUCUUCACAACCUAGCAAACCACUGAUUGGCUAUGUUACUUCUUGCUUAACCAUGUGUUAGCGUUGCUAGUUGCAAGUGCAUUUGCUUCCAGGUGAUAACCUAGGUUCCUUGCUAUAUCACCCUAUUAAAUGCUAUUUAAUUUAAUGCACCUAUAUACUUGGUAAAAGGUGGAAGGCUCGGCCUUUCUAGCCUGGUGUUUUGUUCCACCUUUGCCCCCUUAGUUUCGGCUACCGGUGUUAUGUUCCAUAAAUGAGUGCACCUAACACGAUCGGGGUUGUUAUGGGGACCCCCUUGAUAAUUCGUUUUAGAUUAAAGAUGGUAUGGCAAGGCCCAACUUUGGUUCUAAAUUUGUCUAGUAACCUAAUAAAAUUGCAUAGGGACCCGCCGG
rnacentral:lncRNA from 1 species